GAGGCGCGCGUGCGGGCCGCCGCCGCGCACGCGCGCGCGCUGGCCGCCGCGCUGCCGGCCCUAAGGGACGCGCUGCUCGAAUUGCCAGGAGGCUCAGAGAGUGCAAAGAAACUGACUCGUCAGACCGCUUUAGGCGCACGCACACCUGUUAAACACGCGGGUGAGCAGCGAAGUGCCACCGGGGCGGGCGUGUGGAAGCGCGUGCGGCUGAAGUUGGAGGCGCGGGACGUGCCCGCGCGCCGCGCGCACCACGACCAGGUG
rnacentral:misc_RNA from 1 species